rnacentral:tRNA from 1 species
AUCCCUGUAGCGCAAUGGAUAGUGCGUUGGACUUGUAAUCCAAAGAUCGUGGGCUCGAAUCCCAACCUGGAAUG